rnacentral:tRNA from 1 species
GCGGGUGUAGUUCAAUGGUAGAAUGCCAGCUUCCCAAGCUAGCGGCGGGGGUUCGAUUCCCCUCACCCGCU